AGUUAGCUGACGAGUCUCAAAUAGGACGAAAUGCGCAUCCUGGAU
rnacentral:hammerhead_ribozyme from 1 species